UUUUUUACUUUUUUCUCCUUUUAAAAGGCUUAUUUUUGGAUUAAAAAAAAA
rnacentral:sRNA from 1 species